UCAGGCCCCUAUGUGGGAGGUGGGGAUUGUCCACGGAGAUCUGUGGCCAUGUGGGGAGAGUUCUGGCAUCCGACAAUGUGUGUGGCAAGGGUCCAGCUAAACACUCUGGCCAGAGAAAAAGGACUCUGGCUUUACCAGGAUAGAAUGCUUAAGAAUUAAGAGGGAAAAAUACAUGACUUUGCUUUAAAGUGAGAUCAAGAAGCAAUUGUUUGCCAUCUUCCUUCCUGGGAAAGGAGACUGACAGUUCCUGAGGCAGCUCUUGAUGGAAUCGUGGCACCCAGCCCACAGGCUCAUCUUGUGACAUUGGUCCAUGGGGGUACGACAGCCUUUUCACUACAGUGAAAGAACAUUUUCAAUAAGUACUCAAGAUUGGGCCACAUUGGCCGUUUUGGAAACUGUGAUGAUCAAGGGAAGGAAUGGAAAGGAAAGAAGUGCUCAGGAGGCCCCCAAAAGGACUUUGGCACUCACCAAUGCAGCCAGACGAUGAAUAACACAGUGGGGGUGCAUGGCUAAGUAUAAUGCAAAAAGACAAGUUGAGUAUCAAUUCCACAUCAUUGGUUGGGUGCCGUGAAGAGCUGGAUCCAGCUCAGCAGGAAAGAGUGGUUUCAUCGACUGUCGAGAUUGCCAUAAGCACGAUGGGAGACAGUGGGAACUCACAUGUUAUACGUCUAUAUCUACCUUCCUGGUUUAAUGAUCACUAACAAAUUGAUCAUGACCUUUGGAUCUGAACAACAUUGGUUCUUCACCAAAGUAAAAUCCACUAUCAAUGGAUGAGGAUUUGCUACCCAUGGAUUCUUAAAUAGGGUAUGCCACAGGCUUUUGAAGAUUCUUCCAAAGAUGAUGAACUAAAAUGAUUUGUGCAACGGAAGCUUCAUUAGUGUAAAAGUAUGGUCUUCUAAAAGUAUUAUACUGAAGGCCAAAAUU